AGGAGAGUGAAAAAAAGAGGAAGAAGAGAGUAAGAAAGGAGGAGGGGGAAAGGAGAUAAAAAGAAAGGAGAGCGAGCAAGGUCUCCCCCCACCCCCGCCCCCAGCUUUGUAGUUGAAAUAGUAAACCCAAGUAAGGAGGGUCGCUGAGAAAGUGGACAUUACGGCUUUAAUUAACUUCAAGAUGAUCUGGCGAGCAGGACCUGGCGUAGUGGUGACGCGCCCCCAUAAAUCUGUCCAGUACAGUGUGUUGCAUUGAACUAUUACAGUAGCCUCGUCAUACUGAAUAUUCACCACCUAUCCCGGAGCAGAUUUGCAUAAUUGGAUCUUUUUUUUUUCUUCCUCCUCCUUCCUCCAUGAAACUUGUUUGCAAACCCAAGUGAAAAUCGCGGCGAUCUGCACGAUUUAAAACGGUUCAAACAUAUUCCAAAUUCCUGACCAUCAGUCUCUACCCUACAUCUUUAAGAAAUUCCCUCAAUCAAGAGCGAGGUCCGUUGCUUUAAGGAUAACCUGGGAACUGGGACGCACCUCUGGCAAUCUGUCAGUGCCUAGAUCAGCUGCAUCCUUUCAGGAGGGACUCUCUCACGAGGCUGACGAUCCGUAAGACAAGUAUGCAGCUAAGUUGCUAAGGUAAGACUCCCUCAGUCGAGGACAUAUUGUGGUUCUUCACUCAAAUUCCCUUCUAUCCUCUUUUGACUU
rnacentral:lncRNA from 1 species